UACGGAGGAUCCAAGCGUUAUCCGGAAUUACUGGGCGUAAAGCGUGCGCAGGCGGUUGUGCAAGACCGAUGUGAAAUCCCCGGGCUUAACCUGGGAAUGGCAUUGGUGACUGCACGGCUAGAGUGUGUCAGAGGGGGGUAGAAUUCCACGUGUAGCAGUGAAAUGCGUAGAGAUGUGGAGGAAUACCGAUGGCGAAGGCAGCCCCCUGGGAUAACACUGACGCUCAUGCACGAAAGCGUGGGGAGCAAACAGG
rnacentral:rRNA from 1 species